AUCCAGAUGACGAGUCCCAAAUAGGACGAAACGCGCGUCCUGAU
rfam:Schistosoma margrebowiei strain Zambia genome assembly, scaffold: SMRZ_contig0002019